CAGCGGUGCGACGCAUUUAGGCCUGGUUCCAAUAAACUGGUUGAGGUGAGACCAGAAUGUGAGUUCCAGUGCUGGUUUAAAGCCUGGAUUCCUUUCAAUUCUGUCUUGAAUUUACACACUUCAGGCCAACUCAUGAAGACCUUAUCUGGGGGCACGUUUUAAUCCUUUUUUCUUGCUUCAGGGUCAAGUUAUUCAGAGAGGGAUUCAGGACUUUACCAACACAACUAAUGGAGAUGAUGGCAAGACUUUAGGAUUUCUGAGGCAACACUGCUGUUUCACUUAUAACACGCUCUAUGAUCUGCAUGGGACACCAAUGUGCCCUUGUGGCCAAGAGAGACAACGGCAUCCUGAGGUACAUCAAGAAAAGUGUGGCUGGCAGGUUUAGAGAGGUUCUUCUCCCACUCUGCUCUGCCCUGGCGAGACCACACUUAGAAUACUGUGUUCAGUUUUGGUCUUCCCAGUUCAAGAGAGACAGGGACCUGCUGGAGAGGGUCCAAUGUGGAGGAACUUGAUCAAGGGACUUGAACAACUUUGCUAUGAGGAAAGACUGAGAGCCCUGGGGCUGUUUAGUCUGGAGAAGAGAAGGCUGAGAGGGGAUCCUAUCCACAUCUAUAAAUUUCUGAGGGGUGGGUGUCAAGAUGAAGGUGCCAGGCUCUGAUUGGUUGUGCUCAGUGACAGGACAAGGAAAAAUGGGUACAAGCCAGAACACAGGAGGUUUUACCUCAACACAAGGAGACACUUCUGUAUAGUGAGGGUGACAGAGCUCUGGAACAGGCUGCCCAGAGAAGCUGUGGAGUCUCCUUCUGUGGAGACUUUCAAAACCCACCUGGAUGCAUUCCUGUGUGGCCUGCCCUAGGUGAUCCUGCUUUGGCAGGGGGGGGUUGGACUGGGUGAUCUCUGGAGGUCCCUUUCAACCCCUAACAGUCUGGGGUUUGGGUUUUUUCUUACUUUUUUUUAAUUAGGCCUGCAGGAAUAUGUUUCAGAUGCAUGUUAUGACACAAAGUUGUCUGAUCUAGGUUCUAGCAUUCAAAACACAGAAGAGCUACAUAACAGGUGGAAAAAUGUCUUUUGACAGGUGACUUGAGGUUUUCAUUUUUCCUUUCUCCACCAGAACAAGUGUUAGCAUCUGGCUGUACUGUCGGGUUUGGGGUUUUUGUUCUCAAAUAAAUGGUCAUGUUACGGU